UACGGAGGGUGCGAGCGUUAAUCGGAAUUACUGGGCGUAAAGCGUGCGUAGGCGGUUUCUUAAGCGAGAUGUGAAAUCCCGGGGCUCAACCUCGGAACUGCAUUUCGAACUGGGUGACUAGAGUACUGUAGAGGGUGGUGGAAUUUCCAGUGUAGCGGUGAAAUGCGUAGAGAUUGGAAGGAACAUCAGUGGCGAAGGCGCCACCUGGACAGAUACUGACGCUAGGCACGAAAAGCGUGGGGAGCAAACAGGAUUAGAUACCCGUGUAGUCC
rnacentral:rRNA from 1 species